GGGAUUAACCGUGCUUGCUCUCGAAUAUCAUUCAUCACCAGUUUUCAAGUAAGUUAGAGAUUGUGUGGAGCUGCUCAUAGGUUUCGCGAGAAGCAUCCGAUUAAACUGCAUUAAUUGUAAGUUAAUGCAUAACAUGUGAGGACUAACUGAAAGAGUAGUUUAUUUAGUCGUACACUGAAUUGCUAGUUAUCAACAUCUAGUAUUCUGUAUAUCGUGUUGUAGCCUCACUUACAGCAUUGAAGAAUGUAUAAUCAAGAUCCUGGCUAAUCAAAAUUCUUUGCAGUUGUAUGACUAAUAAACUCUUUAAUUUUUCAUUGUUCUAAUUGAUAGAUACAUUUGGAACACAACUUGUUUGAAGUUAAAUUUAAGUGUACUCAAACUGUACUAAUAAAGUAUAUUUUAUAUAUAUAUAUUAUUUCAACAAGUUGUUACGAUUUUUUAUUUUUGGUGGAGGGAAGUAAGUGACAUCAUUAUCAUUGUGCUUAGUUGGCCAGCCUUAUAUGCUCCUGAAAAAUAGCC
rnacentral:lncRNA from 1 species